rnacentral:rRNA from 1 species
AUUGAACGCUGGCGGCAUGCCUUACACAUGCAAGUCGAACGGUAACGGGCCUUCGGGUGCCGACGAGUGGCGCACGGGUGAGUAAUACAUCGGAACGUGCCCGAUCGUGGGGGAUAACGAGGCGAAAGCUUUGCUAAUACCGCAUACGAUCUACGGAUGAAAGCAGGGGACCGCAAGGCCUUGCGCGGACGGAGCGGCCGAUGGCAGAUUAGGUAGUUGGUGGGAUAAAAGCUUACCAAGCCGACGAUCUGUAGCUGGUCUGAGAGGAUGAUCAGCCACACUGGGACUGAGACACGGCCCAGACUCCUACGGGAGGCAGCAGUGGGGAAUUUUGGACAAUGGGCGCAAGCCUGAUCCAGCCAUGCCGCGUGCAGGAUGAAGGCCUUCGGGUUGUAAACUGCUUUUGUACGGAACGAAAAGCCUUCUUUUAAUACAGGAGGGUCAUGACGGUACCGUAAGAAUAAGCACCGGCUAACUACGU